GAUGAACGCUGGCGGCGUGCCUAAUACAUGCAGGUCGAGCGAACGGACGAGAAGCUUGCUUCUCUGAUGUUAGCGGCGGACGGGUGAGUAACACGUGGAUAACCUACCUAUAAGGCUGGGAUAACUUCGGGAAACCGGAGCUAAUACCGGAUGAUAUUUUGAACCGCAUGGUUCAAAAGUGAAAGACGGUCUUGCUGUCACUUAUAGAUGGAUCCGCGCUGCAUUAGCUAGUUGGUAAGGUAACGGCUUACCAAGGCAACGAUGCAUAGCCGACCUGAGAGGGUGAUCGGCCACACUGGAACUGAGACACGGUCCAGACUCCUACGGGAGGCAGCAGUAGGGAAUCUUCCGCAAUGGGCGAAAGCCUGACGGAGCAACGCCGCGUGAGUGAUGAAGGUCUUCGGAUCGUAAAACUCUGUUAUUAGGGAAGAACAUAUGUGUAAGUAACUGUGCACAUCUUGACGGUACCUAAUCAGAAAGCCACGGCUAACUACGUG
rnacentral:rRNA from 1 species